GAGUCUUCUAGAUGUAAGAUAAUUGCGCGUCACGUUAAUAUCUUUACGUAAUCCCGACGUGUGGGUCUUUCUUCCGUAUUUCCUGAUAACUCCCUGCAGAAAUAGACAAACACCAAAACUCGUGGAAUUCUGUCAGAUAAAACCCUAAGUCUAGAUGUUGAUUUCAUUUGGAUCCUUUUCUUUGUUUAUUUGAUAAUUAAAUUUGAUACUUAAGGACCGUCAACAAACUCCCCCAAGCUUACCUCUUGCUCGUCCCUGAGCAAGGAUAGACUCAGCUAUGGAUCAUAAGUUGUUGCAAUAUAUUUAAAAAUUGACGGUACACAUGCUUUUUAAAUAAGAUCUCAUCUCUAAGUUAGAGUAAACUGUCAAGACUUAAAACUUACUUACUUUACCUUCACCAUGGGACUUGUAACUGUCACUUCUAUCUUGAGUAGUUAAACGAUAGAACAGUCUAGUCAAGUGCCAUGUCUCUUAUUCUUGAUCAGCUAUAGCUCUGGGGUUUUUGCAGAUUUUCAAAUAAAACUCAGAGAUUCCUUGUAUGACUCUCUCAGAUCUCUCUUUUGUGGUAUUUCUGGAUCCUUACCAAGGCAGUAAUGGUAUAUGCCUUCUCACAAUAUAUGUGGUAUUUGUGGUAUAAAGCAUAGUGACAUUGCCUUCUCUCUCACCCUACUCUAAUAAGGCUUUAAUAUCUGGAGCUCAUAGGUGGGAGAUAAAGUAUACAUACUUACAAGACAUGUAUUGUAUAGUCAAACCAUGGAUCCAAAGAAACAAAUCAAUAAGCCAAAUCAAGAUGUGCAUGUGUGGCGAAUGAAUGAUGUAUGGUGGUGAUGGUGAUAACAAUGGUGAAAACAAUGGUGGUGGAAGUCUAAUUCUACUUUGCUCUUUGAGGGGAUACAUACCUUCCUUGCUUUUUUUUUGAAUUUAUGAGGAGAAUGAGAUGCUCUUCUUUUUUUCUUUUCUCUCAGGUGGGUAUCUUGUACCCCUAAUUCUACUGUCGGACACUUGUCCAUUUUUACCUCUCGUCUCACUCUCUCUUUUCUUUCGAGGUUCCGAGCACUUGCACCUUUUUAUUUCCUCAUAUUUCUCUUUUUUUUUCUUUUUCUUUUUUUUAGAGCAUUCAUCUCUUGAGAUAAUAUAGCAAGUGGUAGUAACAAGAUAACUUGAGCAUUUAUUUCACAAGGGAAACAUAAAUAUUUUUGGCUAUUCUCUCCCGGAUUAGGAGUAGAAUAUUUUUGGGUGAUUCUGGAGAUGGAAUGGGUGGAUAUAUGUGGAUGGUACUUCCGGAGUAGAAGUAGCAUAUAUGAGUGAACGUACAAGUGAAUCUUGAUUUAACCACAUGACAAGUUCCUAAGGGUCUACACAGCUUGACCACACUCAAUGCUCAUAAGCAGUAAAUAGUAAAUGUGUGGCUCAAAGUCUAGCAAGCAUGUAUAUAUGGCUGUGGUAGGAAUUUAAACUCUCAUCAUACAUGAACUCAUCAUGCAACAUUUUAAAGAUUUUCAAAGAUAAAAUUCUCUAGAAAUCUAGCAUCUCUAGGAACAGAUAAACAGCAGCUCAACCUUCCCAUAUCGUAUCCGUUAACAACUUAGACUUCAGAUCAAAUUUUCAUCCCACAAGUUUAGGUCUAGAGCAAGCUUUAAAUUAUAACAGUUAUAUAUAUCCUUGAGAGUGAACUUAAAAUGUGCAAAUUAGGCAGAGCAACUAUUCAUCAUUUCCAUACUUAAGUUUUAUUUAGAUACAGAUUAGCAUCGCCACUUUAUUUAUUUAUUAAACACACUAAGCAAAAGAUAUAUAUAUAAGCUUAAAAUCUUUAUUUGGUUUUUUAUAGUUUAUGUAUAUUUAAUAUUCUAAUAUAAUAUAAGUAUAAAGAUAGAUAGAAAUACUUAUCGAGAUAAAUGGGGGUGCUCUCUCCCAAGCUGAAUUUUGACGUAAUUUCUCUUGAUGUAGCUAGCAGGUGGCAGAGGUGUAUUUGAAAGUCAGCAGCAUUCUGACAGCGAUUAGAAUGUCCUCCGUCUGCUAGUCUUCUUGAUUCUUAAAUUCUGCGGAGCUCAAAUAGACAACAAAGCUUGUGGAACUGAUUAAGUGUUAGCAUAAAUAUCUAGCCUUUAUCAUCUUGAGACUCCUUAAUAAUUAUUACUCCCUGUUUUUAUAUUUUUAUUUUAUAAAGCAGAAAAGAAAUUUUUAUUUUAUUUUUAUGCCACCACAGUGAAUGUACUUAUGGGUUUUAUGCCACUCGCAUACUCACAUGGGGCUUACUGUUUUUCGCAUUUUUAUUUUCUUUUAUUUUUAAGAUAGUACGAACAUGAUUAACUAAGUAAACUAGUUGAAAUAAUUGAAAAGGAAAGGAUAACUACCAAGUUUACCUCUCGGCAAGGCGUUCGGUGUUUUUUAAGUCCUCCGAACGGGACUCUCCAUUUUUUCAGUAGUCCUGAGGUUCGUUGGUGGUGUAGUCGGUACUUCCAGCGGCGCCUCCUCUUCAUGUAUAGUUAUCUUCAUUUUCCACACCUGACUUGGUGCUUCGGUCUACUCUGGAUAAUUCUGUUUAAACUCUACGUUUUCUGACCUUACAACUUUUCCUUCAUAGUCUGCCCAUCCGUCCUUGAUGAUCUGCCUCCUCUGGUUGCGGUUACGUCUUUUCCUUACCUGCUUAGAUUCUUCAACGAUAUAGUUAGGGUCAGUAAAAUAACGGCGUACCUUCUCUAAGGGGAAGUGCAUAUGGACUUCUCCGGUUCCAAUGUAGAUAAUUGCUUUAACGGUGCUGAGGAACGGUCUUCCAAGGAUGAUGGGUGGAUCGUACUUGUCUUCUCCCAUGUCAAUAACUUGAAAGUCUGUGUAGACAAAGUGAUCGUCUAUUUUGACUGGGACAUCAGUUACUAUUCCUUUAACUUCUCAAAAUGUCUGAUCUGCCAUCUGGAGUUGAAUGUAUGUUGGUCUUAGUGGCAUGGUUCCAAACAAGAGCCGAUAGGUGACUGCGGCCAUUAUGUUGACGCCCGAUCCAGUGUCGCAAAUCAUCUUGAAGAAACUAUAUCCAUUUAUGGAGCAGUAGAUGCUUGGCAUUCCUAGGUCGUCCUUCUUGGUCAAAAGCGGUGACUUAAGUUGGUGAUCUUGGCCUCCAUGAACUACAGUGACCAUCUUAGCUGACUCGGUCCACACUUGCUUGUUCCUGUUCCUCCUGUUGGUCCUCUUCCUUGACUCACGUCUGGAUUGAUCUGGAAUUUUUGUAAUCUUUUUCUUGAAGAAAAAUGUCUCCUUCUUCCCUUUGACGUAGAAACUGAUCUUGGCAGCACUAGCGUAGAUGAUAGCUCCCGUGGUGUUCAAGAAUGGCCUCCCUAAGAUGAUGGGUGCUCUCUCAUCAUUUCCGGUCUUUACCACUACGAAGUCUGCUAGGGCAUACAAGGUACCAACUCGGACGCAAAGGUUCUUCAAUAUUCCCUUUGGAAAAGUUAUCGUCUGAUCUGCAAAUUGCAAACACAUGGUUGUUUCUAAUAAAAGAUAUGUAAAGAAUUUUUCAUAGAGUACCCUGGUUAUAAUGUUGACACUGGAGCCAAAGUCGCAGAGUGCUUCUGGAACGUCCACCAUGCCGAUAGAGAUCGGGAUGACGGGGCGUCCUGGAUCGCCUCUCUUGACCGGCAGAAGGUCAGUAGAGAAUUUAGUGACGGGGUUACUUCCAAUUACCUGCAUCAAACGUGUCUACAAGAUUUGCAGAUUCUAAUCCUUCCGGUUGUGAUUGUAUACCGGGGUUAGUAGUAGGAACAGCAACAGCUAUUUGAUUUAACUGAGAUUCAAUCAUUUUAUUAAAGCUAAUUUGAUUCUUGAUGGCAGUAGAGAAAUUAUCCAUUCUAUUAUUUAUAUUUUCUAGCAUUUUAUCAUUAGAUGCCAAUUUCUUAGAUAGAUUAUCCAUUAGCUUUCCUUGAUUAGACACUAACUCUCUCAAAGGUGGAAAAUUAUUAGCAUUAUUGUUGUAAGAAUUGUUACCUUGAUAAUUACCUGAGUAGUUAGGCCUCUGUUGAUUCCAACCUUGAUUUUGUUGAGGACGGUUGUAGUAGUUGUUGUUGUUGAUGAUGUAGUUCACAUCCUCAAGCAUCUCAGGGCAGUGGUUGCCUGAGUGUCCAGUGUCUCCACACUCCUCACAAGUCAUGUGAGAGUCGUAGAUGUGCAUAACUUCUUUCUUGUCUCCAACUCUAUCAUCGAGCUUCUUCAUGAGCAGGUCUAGCUUUUGCAGACAGCAUGUCUACAUCUUUCAGCUGAUGCAUACCUCCACCUCUCUUGCGUGUCUGGGUCCUCUCUUCAUUCCAGCUUUGGUUGGACGCCAUCUUCUCCACAAGAGCUGUGGCUUGUGGUAUUGUAAGUGAUAAGAAUGCUCCUCCAGCUGCAGCAUCCAUGGUCUCUCGGGCACUGUUGCCGAGCCCAUGAUAAAACGUCUGCAUUAAUAGCCAACUCUCCAUUCCAUGAUGGGGACAUUCUAGGAUGUAGUCUUGAAAGCGCUCCCAUGCUUCUGGAACAAAUUCAUCAUUUUGUUGCUGAAAACUUGUAAUCUUCCCACGGAGAGCAUUGGUCUUGCCCAUGGGAAAGAACUUAGCCAAAAAGUUUGUUGAGCAGAGUGCCCACGUAGUAUUCUUCUCCUUUGUAGCGUAGAACCACUGCUUCGCUCUUCCUCACAGUGAGAAUGGGAAGAGGCGAAGUAGUAUAGCAUCUUUGGGAACUCCUGAUAUGGUGAAUGUGUUGCAAAUCUCCAAGAAGUGUUGUAAAUGAGCACUAGCAUCUUCGUGUGCCUUCCCACAGAACUGGUUGGAUUGCACCAUGUUGAUAAGUCCAGGCUUGAGCUCAAAGUUGCCAUCGAUCUCUGCAGCAGGUCCAGUGCGGAUGUUGUCCGUAGUGGGAGCUGAGAACUCGCGGAUUGAUUUGUUCGCCAUGGCUUCAAACUCUGAAGACAAGUUCCGGUGAUCUUCUUGAUUUGGAUGAAGCUUCUUGCUGAAGUGUUGAUGAUUUCUUUAGCUUGGCUCUCGUCUUCUUGAAUAAUGCUUCGGGAUUAUUAACAAAAUUUCCUGGAAGAUGUCUUCUAUUCAUACAUUCCCCUGCAUAAGAUGAAAUAGGAAAAUAUCGGGGUAAAACUGUAUGAGAGAAUAGAUAAGCUCAAUCAUAUUAGUGAUGCAAAUGAUAACUCAAAAUCUUUUAUUCCAUUCCUGAUUAGUAAUCAACCUUCCCCGGCAACGGCGCCAAAAAUGCUUGUUGGGUAUUCUUAACAUCAUUACCAAAAGUAGCUAAGUUCUCUAAAUCUAGUAACGGUGCCAAAAAUGCCAAACCUAUCCCUCACACCACUUAAGCCAAGUUGUCAUCCCCAACAUGAUAUAAGAGACGCGGUAUUGAAAUAUGCAAUUGCUCUUCUAAAUAAAUAAUGAAUGGGAUCUGCAAGCGCACAGAUUAAUACCGAUGCAGCAUUUUAACCGGGAAGUAUUCCAGGUAUCGUUAUUUAUAUUUUUACCACUGGGAAGGGAUUAGCAAUCAUCAAUAUUGAUUACAGAAUAGAAUAUGAGAUUGAGCAUCUAUCAUUGCAUGUAUAAUUGAGAACAUUAUAUCUAACUCAUCAUACAGGGAUAAGUGUCACAUAAAAGAUAUAUGAAAUAGUGAAUAGUGACAAGGAUAAUUAAUCUGAUCUAGCCACAUAAUAAAUAUGAUAAGCACCUCAAUUAGAUACUCUAGAAAGUCAUUAGCAUGGUAUUAGAACGAACUACAUGAAUAUUCCCUAAGUUAUUCUCAACUAUAUAGUCUAGCAUUAUCAUAAUUAGUGCAAGCAUACUUAGCAAUCAUCGCGAGACAAGACUACGCCCAUGCAUAGUGAUAUUAGCAAGGAAUAUGAGAAACAUAGCAAUCACUCCCCUUUAAUAAUGUUGCUCUGCCAACCCAAUACACGAGAGGGGGACUAUAUAAGAAUCAAUGAAGCUGUCACUAUCACGAACUACCCCACGAUCUGGCAUAUUGGGUACAAUCACAGAUAAAUACGGUAUAAGCACCACGCCUACACAAUAUCUAUCAUUUACCCAUGGAUCCGAUGGAUAAACGCUAUACGAUCCUAAGCAUGUAUAUAGAUCGAAUCUAACUAAGCCAAGUACAUAACUAUGAUAAACUAAGAACAAUAUAAUCUUGAAUAUAAGCAAGUAGAGCAAAGUCAUAAGCAAUAUAUUGAAGUAGAACAAAGUCAUAUUCAUAAUAUUGAAGAACAAAGAUAAUUAGAAGGCAAUUAGAAGCACAAUUAGAGAAUUACCAAGAAUCCUCUUGACAGAUCCGGAAACCAAUCGAAGAUUGACUCCUUCUAGUUCUAAUCCUAUGUAGCUAUGCUAAUCUAGAUGUCUAAUUGAUGUGGUGGCUCUAAUCUUGAUCAGGGGCUUCUUCUCCCUUGAAGAACAAUGAAUUAGGGUUGAGAGGCUCCCUCCUCCAGGGGCCAGGGGGUCUGGUUUUAUAGUCCCUUCAAGUGAAUAUGGGCCGUUGGAUCAAACCGACAUAGAUUGUAUGGUUUAGAUUCAUCCUUUAGGUCGGUGGAAAUCUCCCGCAAAGCAGAGUCCUGAUUGGACUCAGAGGCAGGGCGGGCGCCCUGACCAACUGGGCGGGCGCCCAGGGUCUGGCCCCGUUUCGCCUCCGCUUCGGUCUCGUGGCUUCUGCAGUCUUCUAGAUGUAAGAUAAUUGCGCGUCACGUUAAUAUCUUUACGUAAUCCCGACGUGUGGGUCUUUCUUCCGUAUUUCCUGAUAACUCCCUGCAGAAAUAGACAAACACAAAAACUCGUGGAAUUCUGUCAGAUAAAACCCUAAGUCUAGAUGUUGAUUUCAUUUGGAUCCUUUUCUUUGUUUAUUUGAUAAUUAAAUUUGAUACUUAAGGACCGUCAACAAACUCCCCCAAGCUUACCUCUUGCUCGUCCCUGAGCAAGGAUAGACUCAGCUAUGGAUCAUAAGUUGUUGCAAUAUAUUUAAAAAUUGACGGUACACAUGCUUUUUAAAUAAGAUCUCAUCUCUAAGUUAGAGUAAACUGUCAAGACUUAAAACUUACUUACUUUACCUUCACCAUGGGACUUGUAACUGUCACUUCUAUCUUGAGUAGUUAAAAGAUAGAACAGUCUAGUCAAGUGCCAUGUCUCUUAUUCUUGAUCAGCUAUAGCUCUGGGGUUUUUGCAGAUUUUCAAAUAAAACUCAGAGAUUCCUUGUAUGAUUCUCUCAGAUCUCUCUUUUGUGGUAUUUCUGGAUCCUUACCAAGGCAGUAAUGGUAUAUGCCUUCUCUCAAUAUAUGUGGUAUUUGUGGUAUAAAGCAUAGUGACAUUGCCUUCUCUCUCACCCUACUCUAAUAAGGCUUUAAUAUCUGGAGCUCAUAGGUGGGAGAUAAAGUAUACAUACUUACAAGACAAGUAUUGUAUAGUCAAACCAUGGAUCCAAAGAAACAAAUCAAUAAGCCAAAUCAAGAUGUGCAUGUGUGGCGAAUGAAUGAUGUAUGGUGGUGAUGGUGAUAACAAUGGUGAAAACAAUGGUGGUGGAAGUCUAAUUCUACUUUGCUCUUUGAGGGGAUACAUACCUUCCUUGCUUUUUUUUUGAAUUUAUGAGGAGAAUGAGAUGCUCUUCUUUUUUUCUUUUCUCUCAGGUGGGUAUCUUGUACCCCUAAUUCUACUGUCGGACACUUGUCCAUUUUUACGUCUCGUCUCACUCUCUCUUUUCUUUCGAGGUUCCGAGCACUUGCUCCUUUUUAUUUCCUCGUAUUUCUCUUUUUUUUUCUUUUUCUUUUUUUUAGAGCAUUCAUCUCUUGAGAUAAUAUAGCAAGUGGUAGUAACAAGAUAACUUGAGCAUUUAUUUCACAAGGGAAAACAGAAAUAUUUUUGGCUAUUCUCUCCCGGAUUAGGAGUAGAAUAUUUUUGGGUGAUUCCGGAGUAGAAGUAGCAUAUAUGAGUGAACGUGCAAGUGAAUCUUGAUUUAACCACAUGACAAGUUCGUAAGGGUCUACACAGCUUGACCACACUCAAUGCUCAUAAGCAGUAAAUAGUAAAUGUGUGGCUCAAAGUCUAGCAAGCAUGUAUAUAUGGCUGUGGUAGGAAUUUAAACUCUCAUCAUACAGGAACUCAUCAUGCAACAUUUUAAAGAUUUUCAAAGAUAAAAUUCUCUAGAAAUCUAGCAUCUCUAGGAACAGAUAAACAGCAGCUCAACCUUCCCAUAUCGUAUCCGUUAACAACUUAGACUUCAGAUCAAAUUUUCAUCCCACAAGUUUAGGUCUAGAGCAAGCUUUAAAUUAUAACAGUUAUAUCUAACCUUGAGAGUGAACUUAAAAUGUGCAAAUUAGGCAGAGCAACUAUUCAUCAUUUCCAUGCUUAAGUUUUAUUUAGAUACAGAUUAGCAUCGCCACUUUAUUUAUUUAUUAAACACACUAAGCAAAAGAUAUAUAUAUAAGCUUAAAAUCUUUAUUUGGUUUUUUAUAGUUUAUGUAUAUUUAAUAUUCUAAUAUAAUAUAAGUAUAAAGAUAGAUAGAAAUACUUAUCGAGAUAAAUGGGGGUGCUCUCUCCCAAGCUGAAUUUUGACGAAGUCAGCAGCAUUCUGACAGCGAUUAGAAUGUCCUCCGUCUGCUAGUCUUCUUGAUUCUUAAAUUCUGCGGAGCUCAAAUAGACAACAAAGCUUGUGGAACUGAUUAAGUGUUAGCAUAAAUAUCUAGCCUUUAUCAUCUUGAGACUCCUUAAUAAUUAUUACUCCCUGUUUUUAUAUUUUUAUUUUAUAAAGCAGAAAAGAAAUUUUUAUUUUAUUUUUAUGCCACCACAGUGAAUGUACUUAUGGGUUUUAUGCCACUCGCAUACUCACAUGUACUUAUGGGUUUUAUGACUUUCCUUACCGUUCCUAUGUGUUUCCCUCUUGAUUCCCUUUUUUGACUCCCUGGCAACGGCGCCAGAAAUGCUUGUUGACACUAGCUAACACCACUUAGAUACUAUGUUGUCAUCCCCAGCAUGGUGCCAGAGUGUACAAAGGUAUUUAUGAAUAUGGAGGCUCUCUAGAAAAUAAUCUAUUCUAUCCACAUGCGCACAGAUAAAAUACCUCAUUGUAGCAUUUCACCAGGAAAGUAUUCUAGGUAUCGUUAUUUAUAAUUUUGCUUAAGACAACAAGGGUGAAAUUAAGAUAAGGAUAAAAUCUAUCAAGGCAUAGACUAGAGAUAAACUUGCAACAACAUGAUUACUAAUGAGGAACUCGUCACACAGUCACUUAUUUUGGCAGGGGGUAAGCCAUAAUAAUAAUGAUAAUGAAAUAUAAGCCCAUGGGUAAUUAACACAGCGAUUAGAAAAUAGACUACUCCUGGUGACGUCGGAUUAGCUAGAGAAUGGAUUCUAAGUUAUCUACUAUCUACUAAGUCACAAUCUACUCUAGUUAUCUACAAGAUCAUAUAUAGCAUAAAACACUCUUCAUUUAUGUAUAAGGAACAUUGCUAAAGUAAAUCAGAGCAUUGCAAGACUUACUCCGCAAUACAAAUUCUGCCAGUCCUAUCAACGGAGGGUGGACUAUAUAAGAAUCAACGAAGCUGUCACUAUCACAAACUACCACACAACCCGACUAAUAGGAUACAUUUGCAGGUAAAUAACAUCUAAGCACCACGCCCACAUGUGAUCUACCACUUAACUCCCACGUGUCA
rnacentral:lncRNA from 1 species